UACAGGCUGAGACAUUUUAUUUUAAGUAGAAGCUGACGAUGUCUCUACUCUGUUCACAGCUAGACAGUUAGAAGCCAUGAUAACCUCACUGGGCCCCAGGGGGGUUGCAGGGAGAAAUCGUCUUAGGCACAUCAAAGAAGGCUGAAGACAUUUGAGAGAUAAAUGAGGGUCACCUCCCCAGUGGGGUGCCAUAGAAAAGUGAGCACCUGGAGGUGAGAGGGGCAUCGGCUGGGGGUAGAAACCAAAGGAUGUUGCUCAGACUGCCAAGCAGCUCCAGCGGUCGCUAUGCACAGCCAUUCUUUGGGGAUCUCAUCAUGGAAAAGGGUAAAAAAGAACAUUGCUGUGUCAAGGCUGCACAGCUGGAUCCCAGAGAAGUCCGUGUGCCCUAGACAGUGUGGUUUCCUAUUACAUAAGCAACUCUUUUAUUACUCACACUCGCUUGCUCCUGCAAGACUCCUACAGCAUCUCCCCCUAGAAAACACAGUGGAAGAAAAGGGUUCUUAGUUCCAGCUGAGUCUUGGUGACUUGAAUGCCUGGUCACUCCUAAGGAUUCCAGGGGAAUACUUCCUGAGCCUGGGAUUUUUGAAACAAGGC
rnacentral:lncRNA from 10 species